UUUAAAAUGUUAGUUUGUCCGUUUAAAAUGUAGUAACCUAUGUGUGGGGCAAGUUACUAGCUAGCUAUGCUAACGGCUAAAGCCAGUCGACCGAGCCUUUGUCCCCUUCAAAUGUGCUCAUGUGGGCUCCUGCAGCCACACACCUGUGUGGAGAAAAGCUAAUGACUAACGGCAUCGAGCGGCUACAGGCAGGGAGCGGUGGGUCUAGCGUCUGUCCUUUUUCUGUAAUCUCAUACACCUGCGGGGAACAGCUGAUCGUUAUCGCCCUUCCAGCGGCGACAGACAGGAAGCGGUGGAUCUAGCUCGCUGUAGAGGGCAAAUCCCAGUUGCCCACAUGCAAGGAGGCUGUCAAACAGAGAAAUCACUGCAGACUGUUGGUACACAGACAUCUGCUGCCCAGCUCAGGAGUGAAGGUAUGUAAGUUUGUAUGUACCAACAGUAAGAUAGGUAAUAGAAGAUUUUAAUUGGUAUAUACUGUUUAGAUUUUAUAUUUGAAUUGUAACAACUGUUUAUCUGUUGUUUUAGCACAGACAGGCCUGUCCUCUUGUUUGGUUUAAUUUUUUGUCUGGUAUUGUGUGUUCUUAUAUUAGAGAAGGUUUUGACCUACAUAAUAAUGAACAUUUCACUAAUCUACAAUUCUGAUUGCACUACCUUUUGUUUUGAUGAGGUGAUGGUGAGGACAGCCACAGCUUCCAUCUGGUAGAGGACUGCUUCCGCUCAGUCUUCCAAAUAGUGAUGAGAACAAGGAUCACCACAUCUCCCUGUUUACCCUACUUUCAUGCAUUUCGUCUGCAAGGCCCUGCAAAAGCUUCUCCUUCGUCCUCAAACCCCCAGACUUCUUAAUUAACUCAGUAACCUAUACAUUGCACAUUGGAGUGUGAAGGUAACAGUUUGUUCUAGCUUUGGAGUAGUGGUGUAUUUUUUUGGUUUACAAUAAAGUUGGCUUUAACUAUUA